GCGGCGGCCGAGGCUGCGGGAGAGGACGAGCGCGCCCCAUUUUCUCCGCGGAGCCGCCCCCAGCCCUCCUGACCUCCGCGCCCCUUUAAAUCCUCCGCGGGUCUCCCCGCCCUUCCUGCUGGGAUGGGAGGAGACCUUAGCGGACGGUGCUCUGCCUGUGCGGCCAGAUGAAAGGGGGACUGGGAAAAUGAAGCCAGCUCUUGCCGGUGGGCUGGGGGCGGCAGGAAUCCGGAGCUCUGGCCGCUGGCGGCACUGGGCUUGAGGGAAGCGGCGGCACGGGAGGCGUCCUCGGGAGCCGGGGUCUCACGGUCCAGGGAACGCCCCCGCCGCCGGCUUGCUAGCGAGGCAUCCCGUGAACAAAGAGGCCUGCUUCACCCUACUGGGGCGAUCGCCCCCCGGAGGGAAGGGUUUCCACCUUGCACGGCACUCGCGCGUUUUGUCUGUUGGUUGUGGUGAGGAGGGUGUAUUGCAGAUCCAAAAGGAGCCUCUCGGCCUCCCAGGGUGUCUGGGUCAGAAUUGAGACGUUCUGGGCGAGGAGGUGUUGGGAGGGGAGUAGGAGGUCGGAAGGAGAGAGGCCGACCCAGUUAGCUCUGUUCACACCGUCCCUCUCUAGGAGCGGAGCCUACACCUGACUUGUUUGGAAUGUGAGCUUUUGCAGGGGACAGAGGCCCUGGCACGUAGAAAGUUCUAAACUGUCUGGUGAAUUGCUGCAAUUAAAACCAGAGCGGCUCCUUCAGUUGUCCUGGGUGGGCAGGGCAUCCCAAAGAAACACAGAAAGUAUGCAGGGUCCUUUGAAAAUAGUGCCCAUAUCAAACAAAAUAUUAAUACUUCGCAUUUGUAAAGUCCUUUCCUCUAAGAAUGUUGUCUCGUUCCAUAUAUAUUUUCCACUCCAUAAAAUUCUAGAGCACAAAGAAAGGAUUCAUAUGGGAGCGAAUAGAACAAGUAAAGACGGUCAGCUGUGGUCACAGUGGAGGAACUGAAGAGUUUAGACUUCACCAGCUCUUAGAGCCCUGUUUUCUUUGAAGUGGUUACAACCGAGUACUUUGGUGUGGCCUAAAGAGUUUGAAGGUAUACAGUUAAAGGACCUGGAAAUAAGAUUGGGCUGGCCAUUGGGGCCUUGCUUUUCUCAUCUGUGAGAUGAUAGUUGUGAAAAUGAGAUUAGACUGUAUGAAAUAUUCUUCGUAAGCCAUAGGAUAUGUUAUACAAAUGCUUUAGUUAUUGAAACAUCUAUAAAUUGGUAUACAAGUCAUGAUUACUGUAGUUGCAAUACGGAGUUGGUGGGGUGCUUCAGAUUUGCAAGCUGUAGGAGGUGGGAACAGGACUGAAGGGCUAUGUGCUGAUGAAUCUCCUUCAGCAUUGCUGUGGAAUGGAUAUGCUUCCCCAAAAUUCAUAUGUGUUGAAGCUCUAACCCCUAAUGUGACUAUAUCUGGAAAUAGGGUCUUUAGGAGCUCGCUCUCUCCUCUGCCAUGUGAGGGUACAGCAAGAAGGCGGCCAUCUGCAAGCCAGAAACAAAGCCCUCAACAGAACCUGACCAUGCUGGCACCCUGAUCUCAGAUUUCCAGGCUCCGGAACUAUGAGAAAUACAUUUUUUUGCUUAAACCACUCUGUGAUAUUUUGUUAUGGCAGCCAGAGCAGACUAAGACAAAUAUGUCUUCGCUUGGAGCUAAGCGCCCCUCCUACCACCUCCACCACCUGGCGUUUUGUUCAGCACUUCCACAGUUGUCUCAUUUUUAAUUUGUAACCGUGUAAGUUGGAAUUGGCAAGAUUUAUUUUAAAAUGAAGAAGCUAAGAAACAAAAAGAUUAAAAGGCCUGCUGAAAGUCACACAGAUUGUGAAUGACUGAACUAGAACUAGAGUCUCCCCAGACAACAUCUAGUCCCUAGCAUCUGCCAGGUUCUGGGCUAGAUUCGAGGGAUAAGGAGAUGAAUAUGAUUUAGAGGUGGAGAGGGUACAGUCUGGUCAAGCAAAGAAACGUGAACAAAUCAUUACAUCAAGUAGAAAAGUCUGCAAGGAUUCAUUGGCCCAGCAGGUAAAUGGGAAGGGUGGCCCAGGCAGGGGAAGACUGGGAAAACAUGGCUUUGGGGGAGCCACAAGUGCUGCUGAGGAUAGGGUACAGUACAGAGAAGGAAGGGGCAGAGAUGUCCCAGAUGCCAUUGGAGAUUCAGCUUUGCUUUCACUUUCCCAAGGACUCAUGGCCUCCCUAGGGCCCUGGCCAAAGGGGAGACCUGAACUUAGAGAUCAAGGCUAAGAGUCCUUAAGGACCUAAUGUGCCUAAGGAAAAGCAAUAGUAAACUCUUCCAUUAGUUUUAUGUUGACCCUUCUAUAGAAAAUUAUCUUUGUUUUUGGACCUAGCUAGGGUCUCCUAAGGGGUUAGUUUAUUAAAGCCCUAACCAUUUGUAAGUAAGUGAUAAUGUGCUUUAAUUAGAAGAUAUGAAUUGCACACCUAUGACUUUUUCUAGCAAGGUCCUACCCCUAAUCAAUGUUUUCGCAGAAUCUCUGUCUCCAGAGGCACAGAGUCAUACUUAAAUGAAUACAUGAUCAUCCCUCACCAUAGAAAUGCAGAUAAGGACCUUAACUAAUGAAGGGGCUAAUAUCUGUCUCCUUUUGGGAACAUUUGUACAAGCUCUUACCAGUUAUAGUCAGAUAGGAGGAUUUAUUUGUCUACUGUUUUCUUUAUGGGUACAAUAUGCGUAUUUGUGUAUAUCAUAUAUCCUUACUCUGACUUUUAUUAUUUAUUAAAUCACAGCACUCAGAUGCUCUCUUGGGGAGGGACUGUAGGUUAGGGACAAAAUAGGCCCAGUAGGGCCCUUGCACUUAGAGCCCCUCUCCCAGAAACCAGGUUCCAGAAGCUUGCCCACCUCCCAGGGGUACUCAUUCUGAGUACCAGGCCAACAGCCAAUUUAAGGGCUGGUUCUGGGAUUUCAGCAUCUCUCUGCCUGGUACCAAAUGAAGACUAUCAUCUCUGCCUCACUGGAGACCUCAUUAGGACUUGAACUCUGGUCUUUGUUCCUUCCCAGUAGGUUCUAUACAGUGGAGAAGGUGUGGGGAGGAGGGGGGUCAGGUAAGCCCACAACUCCCAGAACAGCAGGAGUCCAACAGCCUCUGAGAACCAGGAAGUGAGUAAACAAGCAAUUACCAGAAAGACAGGGAAGAGCCCGGUAACCCGAGAAGUGG
rnacentral:lncRNA from 1 species